rnacentral:lncRNA from 1 species
CUUGUUGUUGUCGCUGCCAUGGUUGAGAAGGAGAUGAGGAAGUCACGGGACAUUCAAUUUCAACGUUCUCGUUCUUGACCCGAGUUUGUUGUGAGUGGAAACAAGAUAAGUUUCCAUGAGAGAUGUUCUGAGCCGAACAGUGAGAAGAGUGGAAGAGGAGGCUAGAGAGAACGAGAUGAUGGGAGGAUAGAGAGAGAGCGAGCUGUGGAGAAGAGAAGAAUUAGAGAGAGGAAUAAAGAAAUUAAAGCAGUUUGGUGGAGGCAUAUUUGGAGGCUCGCCGGCGCCGGAGAUUACGUUGAUCUGGAACUAUAAGAAGACUUGAGUCUUCAUCACCAAUCCAAGAGUACACAGGAACUUUGGGAUCGUUGUUUGGAGUUAAAUCCAAGAAAAUAUGGGUGUUGCUUCGGGGACAAGUAACUGAAAAAGUCUGUUAACCCAAAACCCUAAAAUCCAGUUCCUGAGUUGAGUUUUUUUUUUAUGUUGUUUCCCCCUCUAAAAGCCCAAUUGUUUUGUCUUCUAUCUAUAACUGUGAUGAAUAAAUUCAAUAUUUUUUAAAUAAUAGGGUAAACAUAUUCUUCGA